AAACGACUCUCGGCAACGGAUAUCUCGGCUCACGCAUCGAUGAAGAACGUAGCAAAAUGCGAUACUUGGUGUGAAUUGCAGAAUCCCGUGAACCAUCGAGUUUUUGAACGCAAGUUGCGCCCUAAGCCAUCCGGUUGAGGGCACGCCUGGCUGGGCGUCACG
rnacentral:rRNA from 1 species